rnacentral:tmRNA from 1 species
GGGGGUGACUGGUUUCGACUAGAGGAGUUGUUGUAUAGGUGGCAUGCCGAGGAUUCCUGGUUGGCCUCGUUAAACAUCCGGGUAACAAUUAAACGGCGAAGAUUCAAUUCUAGCCCAGGCUAAUGAAAUCGUUGAACCGAUUUUCAGCGGCCAACCUGUCUUAGCUUAAAAAAAAGCUAAGCCCUCUAGCUUAUCGUGCCUGUAGGUAAGUGAAGAGGCUCUACACAGGCUGGUCCUGCGAAUUGCUUUUGUUUGCGGGAUGAGAUUUUUAAAAGCUGGUUCUGUUUAACUUUGUUUGCUGAGGUGAGCAGGAUAAGAUUAAAAGGCAGACUAAGCAUGUAGAGGCUUAUGCAAAGCCCUGUUAGGACCGGGGUUCGAUUCCCCGCACCUCCACCA